CGGCGGACGGGUGAGUAACGCGUGGGUAACCUGCCUCAUACAGGGGGAUAACAGUUUGAAAUGACUGCUAAUACCGCAUAAGACCACAGCACCGCAUGGUGCGGGGGUAAAAACUCCGGUGGUAUGAGAUGGACCCGCGUCUGAUUAGCUAGUUGGUAAGGUAACGGCUUACCAAGGCGACGAUCAGUAGCCGACCUGAGAGGGUGACCGGCCACAUUGGGACUGAGACACGGCCCAA
rnacentral:rRNA from 1 species